rnacentral:rRNA from 1 species
GAUGAACGCUGGCGGCGUGCCUAAUACAUGCCAGUCGAGCGAACAGACGAGGAGCUUGCUCCUCUGACGUUAGCGGCGGACGGGUGAGUAACACGUGGAUAACCUACCUAUAAGACUGGGAUAACUUCGGGAAACCGGAGCUAAUACCGGAUAAUAUAUUGAACCGCAUGGUUCAAUAGUGAAAGACGGUUUUGCUGUCACUUAUAGAUGGAUCCGCGCCGCAUUAGCUAGUUGGUAAGGUAACGGCUUACCAAGGCAACGAUGCGUAACCGACCUGAGAGGGUGAUCGGCCACACUGGAACUGAGACACGGUCCAGACUCCUACGGGAGGCAGCAGUAGGGAAUCUUCCGCAAUGGGCGAAAGCCUGACGGAGCAACGCCGCGUGAGUGAUGAAGGUCUUCGGAUCGUAAAACUCUGUUAUUAGGGAAGAACAAAUGUGUAAGUAACUAUGCACGUCUUGACGGUACCUAAUCAGAAAGCCACGGCUAACUACGUG